rnacentral:lncRNA from 1 species
CAGAGAUUUUUGAUGUCAUCAAUUGUGUCCUUUGUGCCUAUAUCCGAUGUAAGGGUCAUGAACUUUAGGCUCUGUAAUAACAGAGAAGAAUGCCGGGUGAAGAAAAGGGCUUCUAUUGGCUAGCCUGGGCGAACCCACCCUUUCCCAGCGAGAGAAAUUGCUGACAAGUGAGCUUUCCAAAGUGUCAGGAAUCCUGUAAAAUGGAUAACGACAUUAAUAGAAAUUGAAGGAAAGACAACCAGUAACAAGAUUGCUGGAUCCCAGGAACUUUAUGCCGUUGAUGCUUUGAUAUAUACAUUAUUCAAUAAAAUACAUGAAUAAUAUGAAUUAAUUUUUUGGAGCAUUGCAUGAGAUGUGUAAACUUUAUAAAACCACCCUGAAGGAGCAGAACCUUGUGAUGAAGACAUUACUCCUAAAGAGGCAGUUGCUGUGAUUGUUCAAGAGGCAGGAGCUGCAGCAUCUUCAGAAGAAGGAGCCUGAUGCCUCAUGUUGCUCCACAGAUGUUGCUUCUUGGGAUGGAGGCUUCAGGAUGUGGGCUUGAAAUAGAAUUAGUCAACUGGGAACUGGGAAGGAGGAAUGCUACAAUAUCUACACUGUGGCUAGCCUGUACAAUGUAUGAAAGUGACAAGACUUCAGAAUGGUCUGCAUUCACUGAAUACGAUUAAAAAGUACAAUUCCCAGUAGAAAUCUUCAGAGUCUGUGAAAUCUGGUCAGGAACAAGGAAAAUCUUCAUGACAAUCAUCUUGCAGCCAUUUUUGAUGUGAAGAAGGAUCUUUCCAGAUUGAGGGAGUCACUGUGCUUUCAGGUAUAAACACAUGGAAAAUCAGAGGCUUCUAUGUACCAACUUUGGAAAUUCUGAUGAAAGAUUGGUUUGGUUUUCUGAAGGAUUCAUCUUCAUUAAACCCAAGUAUACAAUAUACUUCAAAUCAGGCUACAUAAGAACUAUAUUCCACCUUUAAAAAAUUAUCCACCUGUGAAAAAGAUUAUCAUUUGGGAAUUAUUUAAACUGGUAUAUUGAUACCUUCCACAAUAUAGAUAUGUUAUCUGGCCUUCAUUCAGUGUAGAGAAAAGCCUGGAAUUUGUCCUGCAAUUAAAGAGAGAGAUUGUAUCAGUGCUCAUUGGUAUUAUAGUUAUGCUGAUCCUUAAGUGUCUGCCACUAGGGAAAAGGAAUAUAGUCUUAUGAGUGUUCAGGUCAUGGUGAUCAAGUGAAUGCUAUGGGAUGGGAGAAUGGG